CACAAGUUCUUUGAGGGAUGGUACUUCAAGGUCUCCAUUCCGAGGAAACUCAGUCUCCUGCUUUCUGUUAUUCUCUUGUUAAGUUCGUUGUAUGUGAAUUUGAGAUUGUUGUAGAUGGUCAUGAACUGAUUCUGGGGAACACCUCUGUGGCCAAGAACAAUUUGAGACCUCCAAACAAGGAGCUUCCCCCUCGGGUUGGAUAGAGUGGGAUGGCCAGAGGAUUGAGUUUAAUAAUGCCCCAUCUUAUUCAGAAAAGAAUUGGGGUGGAGGAUUCCUAAGAUGGUUUUGGGUGGUAAUGGAGAAAUUGCACUUACAGCUGCUGGUGGUUUGAGGCAAAUUCCUGGAAUAACAGAGACUUAGGAAAAUGCUGCACUGGUAACUUUGUACUGCAUCAUGUGGCUCUUGUAAUUAUAUUUACUCCAACUUUUUGUAAUACCAAGAUAUUUGAUU